rnacentral:tRNA from 1 species
UAGCCUAGUGGUUAAGGCUAUGGACCGCCAAUCCGGAGACGGUGGGUUCGAUUCCCGU